GUUUCCAUAUUCUUAACCAAAGUCUCAAAUUACUCUAUAUUUAAACAGGUUUGGUCCCUAAUAUUUCAAAUAUUUUUUAUAAAACAGAAUUGUUCUUUUGGUAAAACUGUUGUUUUUCUUGUGACGUUUUCUGUGUUUUCUGUGACGUUGUGUAAACGUCACAGCCUCGUCCCGGAAGCGCUCUGUCAAAAACCUCAAUCUGUUCGCUACCUGCGAAACACGUGAGUUCUUCCACUCGUGACUAUAUGCCCGUGUAUAUCCCAUCGAGCAGCGGUUAUGUCGGUCCCUGACGUUUGGUGGACGUGCGGACGUCAGUAGACGAAGUUCGGCGAAGGAGUGCCGAAUGUGAAGCUCGCUGAUGUGCUUUGCUUUGGAUGGUCGUGCAGUGGUGCCACACCAACAGUCUGAGAGCCCUGACAGACAAGGGUCCAGCUGGCCAGGCAAGGCAGCGUCACGCAGAACAGAUGUAUGAAAGACUUUGAUCUAGAUCAAAGUGACCAAGUUCAACGACAAGUGGACCAUCGACGACUUCAGUUUCGUGAGGAGUCCGUCAGCUUCCCCAUGAGUUCUUCUGUCUUCUCUGGAGCCGGUGGCCCGGUCAAGCGCUCGUCUCACCAGUGUUCAGGGCUACGAUUGUCAGGAGACGGGGAAAAGACAGAAGAACCAUGUGGACAUAAACGAUGUGAAGCCAGAUAUCUUCAAAGACAUGACGUGACUCAUCCACACAGGAAACGCUCCCAACCUGCACAUGAUGCCUGCAGACCUGCUGGCUGCAGCUGACAAGCAGAUGGCUUUGGUCAGAGGUGGGCAGGUAACAGACAACCCAGCGCCUCCUCCCAGGACACUGGUGCCCUGCCCUGCCUCUCCUGUCCCUUCCCUGUCCUGCCCUCUGUCCUGCCAACAACCUCUUCACCCAGCUUCAUCAGCCUUCGUUGCUGCUCGUCUUCUUCUUAUUCCCCUCUCAUCUCAGCCUGUAUAUGCGGGUCGGACCCUCCCUUUCCCCCUCCCCCAGCGGUGCAAGCCUUCUGGAUUGAGCAGAUGGUUAGAGAGGACCAGGAGGAGACGUCCUCUAACCUGGGAGCUCAGCCAGACCUGGCCCACGGUGAAUGGCUGAUGCCUGUCUAAUAGACCUGGACUGGGUUUGCAGGAAUUUGCCUGGCUGCUGUGUCUGUGUGCUGUUCCACAGAAUGUGGUUUCCUCUAGAUUCUACACUUAGUGAAAAAAUACUAAACACUGUAUGUCGGUUAUAUUAGUGACAAUAUAAUAGUUAGCAAAAUAUAUUUGGUUUAAACCACAUCAGCCCCAGAGGUCCAUGUAGUUAACAGUAAUAUCCACCAGUUUUUCAUCUUUAGAGGUCAGUAUUGUCUAUAUGUGUGUACUUAAAAUUCAGUUUGGGCGUUAAGAUGAGGAUAAACAUCUUACAGCAUUGUGUUAGCCUGAGUAAAGUACAGCUUUUAAGAUUGUGUUUGAAUUAAUCCGUCUAACCUCAGAUUAGUCCGCUCAGUCCUGCAUGUGUACAGUGUAUGUGCAGUAAUCAGCCCCUCACAGAGUGAGAUGCUUCAGUAGCAGAAGCAGCUCAGCCUAAGCAGCUGUGGUGUUUGGGAGCACCGACAUUGUCACCUGACAACAUCAGACAGCACCACAAACACAGAGCAUGGUGAACAUCUCACUUGUGAAGCUAUAAAAAUUACAGAACGGCCUGUUGUUAGAUUUAUCUGUCCACGUUAAGCAGACACGCUUUGCUACUAUUAAAUUUAAUAGAGACAUAGCUCCGGCCAUUGCAGCAAAGUCAAACGCCGACAUAAUUAUAACGAUUCUUCUUCUCGCACGUACGCCGGGACGUGAGCAGUGGUCAGCGAAUGUGCGAAGCGUAGAAAGGCGUAUUUUCUGUCUGCAUGAUGAAGAGGAAAAAAACAAAAACAAAAACUCCCUGCUCACUGUUUUGUGUAUUUAUGUCUAUAACCUAAAAUUAAUUUAAAAUUCAUUCAUACCGCGGGGACAAAGUCAAUGAGCUCAGCCUAGUUUCCCUCAUUUGCCCAGUGAGUCCAAAUGGAUUGUUGUUCUCCCCAGACGCUGCUGUUCUCCAAUCUCUUCCUGUUAUUAAAUAUUAAAAUGUUCACUGCAAUCACUCUGUUUAGUAAACACUCUGGGGACCUUACCAAGACUAUUAAAGCAGAGAUGAUUGCAAUACUUUGUUUUUGUUUCAUUUUCUUUCACAAUAUGGCCGACAUGCUAAUCGCUAAAGGAUAGUGAACUUGUUUGACCAGAGUGAAAAUGUUCUCCUUACCUGGCUGGUGAAUGCUGCAUUGUUACAAACAUCCACCAAAUACUGUAUGGAUAUUUACUUCUGCUGAGCUCAUCCUAUUAUGAUUUUUGUUUCUCUUAUUUUCUGUGAUCGAAGGUUACGAAACAAUACUGACUCGAUCGUAUCGCUCUGUCUGUGUUACAUCAUUAUCAGUCCCCUCCUUGGGGACAGUUUUUGUCUGUCGUAGCAGAUUGUUCCUCUUCCACUCUCCGGCGUCGUGCACUUUUGUGAUAAGCGUCACAAUAAUUUCCUGUGAUAUUAACGGCCGCCUGCACUUUCGUUCGGAUGAUUCCAGCUGCGAAGAGGCAGAGACGGGCAUCUCGUGACCCCUGUGUCACUGCAGGCUCGUCUCACCCACCGCCACCCAAACCACCGCCUCGGGUGGUUGCGCGGAUGCCCUGGAGGUGAUGCUAAUGUGGAAUCUUAACUACAUUUCCCUCCUUGCGCGCUCCUCCCCACCUCCUCUCCUACUGCUGCUGUGAAUAUGAGCCUAGAGCAAACACAGGGCACUCUCAUUAAGGGACUAGAGCUGGUAUUAAAUUUGCUGUUAUUAGAGAGGCCUGCUUUCAUUUCACCGGCACAGCAAACCACAGACACCCACAAGAGACGUGGGGUAUGGGCUAGAUUACACUCAUACAUUCAGAUGCAACGUGGGCUGCGUGUUUUUACUGUUUGGGCCGUAGCUGUAAAAGGUGUUUAGGCAAUAGGAAGGUGCAAUCGCUGCUUUCCUUUUUGGUUAAUUUCCCCCAUGCAUCUGGAGAUCCUGCUUCAGAUAUUAUGGAAUGUAAUGUGGUUGGACAGAGAGCAUCAUGUUAAAAACAGAAAAUCCUGCCUGUGUUUCUGCCUCUUGCCUUUUUGGUUCUCUGCCAAAGAGGGAGGUCAUUUUUCACAUUACUGCUCACCCCCUGCCUGAAACGUCAAAGAUGGGCAAAAUCAAUAAACAUACAGCGCCGACGACUCAGUAACCACAAAAUAAGGAACAUCUAUUUGAUGAAGGACUGUUCCACAUCUCUGAACACAUUGUGCAUGAAAGCUUUUCACAAUGUGAGAAGGUGGUUUUUGUCUCAGCCUCCUGUGUGUUGAGAAUCUCUGGCCUCCAGGACAACCCUCGCUGCUGUUGCUCUGUCUGCCGAUACCACUCUUGUCAGUGGCCCCUCGGGGCACAGCAGGCUGAGUGAAGGGAGGAAGCGAGAGUGACUAUGACAGGGGAACUCACAUUAAAUUCCCUGACAGCAACCUCAACAACCUUCUCUAACACUGCCAUGUCACACGCAUAAGGAGAUUACUGCACGGAUUAAGUGAUGGUAAAAUGUGAGUGAAGGCUCUCUGAUACCUUUUUUUUUUUCCUUUUCCUCCCUGGAGCCCAGAGAACCAGCCUGACUGUGUGAUAUCCUCAUUUAGAUGUAUGUACCUGGCUUCCUUCACAUGGAGCAAACACAGAACAGGUGGUAAAGAGGCAAAACAAAGGGAGGAGUGAAUGCCUGUUUCAAAAAAGCCGCAGGUGUGCUGGUCACCGGUGGCACACACUGUUAAAAACACACACAAACAGACUUAAUUAUAUUGAAGAUUUACUGCAGGAAAACCUCAUUUGACUCCCUCGAUUUGUUGUGGUGUUUGUGAUUGGAGGAGACCCCAGCAGCUUUUUCAUGGUGGCAGGGCCUUCUGCUGAUGCUGUAAAGCACAGCAGUGUGUUCAGCUGUGAAUGGGACUCAUUAGAGGAGGAGGGUGUCCGUCUUGAUGCCUGGCUGUCAGAGUACUGGUCAUCCAGCAGGGGAUGGCUGGAAAAUAGGCAGUGAAGGAGUCUCCCUCUGUUUCCAGCACAAUCCAUCCUUAUCUGUCUGCACUCUCUCCUUUCCUUGUCCUGCUGCUCUCUCCCCAUCCUCCUUACUUUCUUGUGUUCCGUCUCUCGACAGGGGUUCAUCUCCUGUGAUUCUCUGUAGCCCAUUAUCAGUUUCCCGUCAACUUCCAUCCCCAGCCAGCCUCUCAACAACCACACGCAAGCACUCGAUCAAAGCCCCGAGAGGGCCAGCAGCCUUAUUGAUGCUUAUCAAAUAAUCCAUUGUUGUUGACCUGUGUUGUCAAUCCCUGUCAGUCGUCGUCUGUGCCACGGGUACAGCCGCUCUCUCAUUGUACUGUAUUGGCUUGUUGUUAGCCGGCUACUGUUCCGACUCC